UAGAUGCAGUGAGGCCUCUACAUAUAUAAAUAGAAAUGAGGGGGCUGAGGCUUUAAGCCCAGUUUAGAAAGAAAGGCAUUUUCAAGGAUCUUCAGGAUGCUACCAGCUCUGAUAGUAAUCAUUGCUAAGAGCGAUUAGUUCUUCUAGAGUUCUGAACAAACUCAGGAAUUCAGGGACAAAAUGGAGAACUCACUGCUCUAACAAAUGACGCUCCCUUCAUCAGCCCCAGACAUACCUCGCUUCUGACUUUUCCACACACAAGAAAGCAGCCUCUCAGUUGCAACUCUUUCCAACGUUGGUUGUUUUGGAAUAUUUAAAUGUGGAAUCUGUCUGUCUCUGUUCCUUCCAGGAUGUCAUUUCUUAUAGCAAAAAGCUUUCUAAGGAGAACAAGAAACAGUUCUCUGACACGAUCAUGCCGAACAAGAGAACAGAAAUAAAAGCUGGAAGUCUGUCAUAUCUUUUCUACUUCCUUCAGGCGCCACAGAACAAGAUAUCAAAGAAAGAAGACCAACUCACUAGCAACAGCCUGAAAAAAUGGAUGAGCUGAGUGAGGAACAUAGCCCUCAACCGUGAUGCCCGUGGUCAGAACACCUUCAGGCAGAUGCUGCCAAAAGUUGCAAAUGAAAGAACUGAUGACAAAUCACUCAAUAACAAAGUGUUGCUCAGCUGUUUUGCAUUGCUCUAUUAAUCAUUCAAAACCAUCCUUGGCUUCACUGCAUGCAUCUGUCCAAUUGAUAACAGCUUUGUUCAUCAUCUCAGACACAGGGAGGAAAAAAAAAAAAGCAUGACAACAUCAAUGCGACUCGAUGCCAAGCCCAUAGAAGAUUUUUUCCGCGGUCUCUGCUGCCACCGCAUGGCCAAAGUGAAGAACUGUGUCCGUAUCGAUUUGGAAUAGCGGAAAGCAAGACUCAUGCACGCACCGAGACUGACGCAUGCGUACUCCUGUGCCAUAAAAAGCGCAUGCGCAGCGCGGAAUCCAGACCGGCGUAUACGCAUUGUUGAUCUGAGAUUGGCGCAUGCGUAGUAUAGUGCCGUAAUGUUAUGCGGGAACUGAUGCAGGCAUAUUGCUCUGCUGGAUGAGGCGCAUGUGUAUUGCUCUGACGGAUCUGGUGCACGCGUACUCAUGAACCAGAAGCAGUGCAUGCGUACUUAUGCGUCAAAUCUAGCGCAUGCGUAGUGCGCUGCCGAAACUCACGCAGUUAUACGCAAGAUCUGGCGCAUGUGUAGUGCUCUGCCAGAACUAGCACAUGCGUAUUGCUGUGCCCGAUCUGGCGCAUGCAUAAUACACUGCGUAACUUUAGCGCAUGCGUACUGGCGUACCUCAAGUGAUACAUGCGUAGUGACGUGCCUGAACUGGCGCAUGCGAAGUGCAGAACAGAGUAGGCGCAUGCGUAGUGGCAUGCCUCAAAUGGCACAUGCGUGGUGGGGGGGUGCCACAAUUAGCGUAUGCGUAUUGAUGUUCCGGAAUUGGCGCAUGCGUGGUGCAGUGCCGAAACUGGCGCAGACGUAAUUUCUCAACUGGCGCAUGCGCACGAGCGUUCCUCAAUUGGCGCAUGCGUAGUGGCAUGCCUGAAAAGGCGAACGCUUGGUGAUGUGCCACAAUAUGCGCAUUCAUGGUGCCGUGCCAGGACUGGCGCACGGGUAGUACAGUGCCUCAAUUGGCACAUGCUUAUUAAUGUGUGUCAACUCCUGCAUACGUACCGAAUGUGCCAGCUCUGGCGCAUGCGUAGUGCAAUGACAAAAUUAGCGCAUGCAUAUUGAUAACCACGAACUAGCGCAUGAGUAACGACGUGGUUUAACUGGCGCAAGCGUAGUGUACUGUCUCCAAUAGCGCAUGCAGUGAUGUCCCUGAAGAUGCGCAUGCGUAGUGAUAUGCCGGAUCAGGCGCAUGCGUAAUGCAGCGCAUGUGUAGUGGAGUGCUGUGAACUGGCGCAUGCGUAGUGCUGUACGGGAUCACGCUCAUGCUCGUUUAUUUGACAGAGGGGGUUGGACUGAAUGAUUUCUGGAGGUCCCUUGCAACCCUAGUUCUGUGAUUCUAUUCGUUGCUUCUUGCAGCAGUACAGUGUUUCAGAAGAGAGAAAAGUAUGGUGGGCAUAAAUUGGAUUUCUGGUAAACAGGUAAACCUGUUCAGUAUGUGGAUGAUUUGCUGAUUUGUGGAAAAGAAGAGUCUAAAGUAAAAGAGACUGCAAGUAAAAUUCUGAAUUUCUUGGGGAAUAGGGGCUAAGAGUGUUUAAAAAUAAACUGUAGUAUGUGGAAAAAGAAGUCAGAUACCUUGGGCAUGUGAUUUCGGAAGGGAAAUUGAGAAUUCUGAAAGAACUCAGGGCAUUGUGCAGCUUCAUCUGCCCAGGACAAAGAGGGAAUGGCAAAAGUUUCUUGGUUUACUUGGAUACUGUAUUUUGUGAGUAGAAGAAUAUGUACGAAAAACGAAGAUCCUAUGUCAAACUAUCACAGGGAGAACCCCACAUAUUAAAAUGGAGAAAAGAGGGAAAUGAAUUAGUAGAAGUAUUGAAGCAGGACUUAAUCACAGCACCUGUGUUAGAACUGCCUGCCUUAAAGGAACCAUUUCACCUUUUCAUAACUGACAGUGAAAGAGCUGUUUUAGGUGUUCUAACACAAGAAUAGGGAGACAAAAGAAAAUCUAUUGCAUACUUGUCCAAGGCAUUAGACCCUGUAUCUCGAGGUUGGCCAGAAUGUGUCCAGGUGGUAGCAGCAACUGCUUUAAUGGUACAAGAGAGUAUGUGUUUGCUCUUUUGGGGGUGUAAGGAGGAAAUUGUUGAGUUGUCAAUAGUACGUGUUCCCCCCCUAUGAGAUUGCUCCACAUCUUGAGGCAUGAUCGUUAACAAAA